CCACUCUUGCACAGAAUGGAAUCAUGUUAAACUUACAGUGCAAGAAAGUAAGUUAACCCA
rfam:Bat coronavirus HKT4-1, complete genome